rnacentral:misc_RNA from 1 species
AACGCACAUUGCGCCCGCCAGUAUUCUGGCGGGCAUGCCUGUUCGAGCGUCAUUUCAACCCUCAAGCCCUGCUUGGUGUUGGGGUCCUACGGCUGCCGUAGGCCCUGAAAGCUAGUGGCGGGCUCGCUACAACUCCGAGCGCAGUAAUGUAUCUCGCUAGGGAAGUGUUGCGGGUUCCGGCCGUUAAACCCCCCCAAUUUUCACAAGGUUGACCUCGGAUCAGGUAGGAAUACCCGCUGAACUUAA